rnacentral:snoRNA from 1 species
ACCCUGCAGACUCCUCACCCAUCAGCUCUAAACAUUGGUCUGAGUGGCUAUAAAAUAAGGAAAAACAAAACUGAAAGGGAUUUGGAUUCUUUUAUGACAUAC